rnacentral:rRNA from 1 species
GACGAACGCUGGCGGCGUGCUUAACACAUGCAAGUCGAACGGAAAGGCCCUGCUUGCAGGGUACUCGAGUGGCGAACGGGUGAGUAACACGUGGGUGAUCUGCCCUGCACUUCGGGAUAAGCUUGGGAAACUGGGUCUAAUACCGGAUAGGAGCCAUCUUUAGUGUGGUGGUUGGAAAGUUUUUUCGGUGUAGGAUGAGCUCGCGGCCUAUCAGCUUGUUGGUGGGGUAAUGGCCUACCAAGGCGGCGACGGGUAGCCGGCCUGAGAGGGUGUACGGCCACAUUGGGACUGAGAUACGGCCCAGACACCUCCGGGAGGCAGCAGUGGGGAAUAUUGCACAAUGGGCGCAAGCCUGAUGCAGCGACGCCGCGUGGGGGAUGAAGGCCUUAGGGUUGUAAACUCCUUUCGCUAGGGACGAAGCGUUGUUGUGACGGUACCUAGAUAAGAAGCACCGGCUAACUACGUG